rnacentral:lncRNA from 1 species
AUGUUCUAAAGGGAUGUCAUCAUUUACAAAAUGUCUUUGUUGAGUCUGAAUGGUUCAAGCAAUAGCAAAAAAGGAUUAUUUCUCUCUUGGACAUUUCAAAGUACUAUGCCACAAAAUAUCCAAGACUUGUUAUGGUGAGGAGCCAAGUGGAAUGGAAAGGACAGCUCAUCCUGGCGGCUGGGAGUGCAUGCACACACAUGCCCCCUUUUUCUUGCCUACUAACAGGAUCUAUAGAAGGAGUACAUAAUGAAGCAAGAGAUGGACCCUGAGGGUACUUGAAGCCAACAAGUUUCACUUCUGGAAAAAGACUUCAGAAUAUGAGUUUAAAAUAUAAAAAGGGAAUUUGAGCCAAGACACAAGAACAAACAUUUUUUUGACAAUUAUAUCUUUAUUAUUCCUCUUACAGAGCUACAUUUACUCUUACUAAGUUUCAGAGUCAGGUAGUAAUUUACAGUAAGACUGAAUUACCAUCCAUAACGUUAGAUGUCCUUAUUGAAACUUCAACAUCAUUUCCAAAUAUCAGCAUUAGCAUUGUGCUUGACAUUCAUUUAACGAAGUUACUGAAAAUCUAUUAAGUAUAAGACAUCAGUUAUUUUUAAUAGAACUUUCUGAAAACAUUUCAGCAAAAUAGCCUGUUGAGAAAAAUGUGUAUGCUGAAAAAAAAAAAAACGAACAAAUAGGAAAGCCUGGUUCACAAACAGGUGUCAGGGAAAUAGACAGUACUUUUAUAGUAAUAACAUAAGGACAAACUUCUUGAAGGUAAGUUUUAUUAAAUAAUAGGACAACAACAAGAUAAAAUGACUUCUUCCUGAUAUUUAUAUAUUGAUUGCUGAUAUUUAUAUAUUGAUAUUUAUAUAUUGAUAUUUAUAUAUUGAUUCCUGAUAUUUAUAUAUUGAUUGCUGGUCAUAAGACUAUUUUUAGGCAAUGUGUUUUGAAAAACCAGAAAGUCUACUACCUUGAGUUUUCAGCCACGUGAGAAUAGCAAGAUUCAGUGUUUAUACUUGAUAGCAUCUUAAUUAGGCCUACAGGCCUCCCUUUCACAUAACUACCUUCAAGUUUAUGACAGCUCAAACUCACAAUUAUCAUUAUGGAGAAGAGAGAAGAGUUAAGCUAAAAACAGACCACUUUCAGAGGACCUGAAAGCAACGUAAUCAGUCACCUAUUGCCAUAUACAAGCCACCCCCAAACAUAAUGACUUAAAACAGCAAUCAUCUGUUAUUGCUUAUGAGUCUCUGAGUCAGCUGAACAUUCCUGCUGAUCUGGGCUUGGUUAGGCUUAUUUUAGCUAUGUUCAUUCUUGUUCUGCAGAUAGCUGACAAUCACCUAGGGGCUGACUGUAGGCAUUCCGGCUGAGAUAUGCUCUCUGUGUCUUUUAUCCUUUAGCAGGAGGAGGCUUGCUCACAGGGUGGUUACAGGCAUCCAAGAGAGUCAACAUAAAUGUGAAAAGUUUCCAAAAUAUCAGAUUCAGUCCUAUGUAAUCUGGUUUCCAUUGCAUUCUCUUGGCCAAAGCAAGUUGCAAGACAAGUCCAAAUUCAAGAAGGUCAAGAAAUACACUCCAUCUCCAGGUAGGAGAAGCUGCAAAGAACUGUGACAAUCUAUGACAAAUAGUAUGUUCAAGGGGAAUAAUAUGGGAAGAUGUGCCCUCCGCCAGCUUCUCAGGGAAAAAUACAGCUUUUGUAAUAUUUAGUAAUAUAGACUGUCUAAUAUUUCUAGAGAUAUCUAUGACUUUCAGUUGAAAUAUCUGAGGCCAACACUCCAAGCAAUUUUAAACAAGUGGUGACAGAAAUUACCAGACACACAUCAAGACUCAAGUAUAAAGCUAUACAAUUUAAGGAUGCUCAGCAAAUGUUACUGAAUUGACUGGGUAGUCCCUAAAGAGCUGAAGAAUAAAAGAUGUUAUGAGAAACCCAACAAUACCAAAUAUAAAUUGCCUCAGGUUCUGAAAUAUUCAAUAAAGUAUUCUCACUGUAGUUCCUUCAGCUUAGCUGAUUUGGACUUUGGCUGUGAAAACAUUAUCCUCAGUGUUUAAAAGGUUGGAAAAUUCUACUGGCUCUUUGGCCCAACCUGGAAUUAAAUCCUGAUGCUAUCUUAGAACCUCAAAGUCUAAAAUCUUCUAUUGUCACUUUACAGAGCUGUUGAAACAUAUUAAUAAACUUGUAUCAUACUGA